CCAGAGUCUCCUGACUCCCCUCAACCUGCAAAUCGACCCCAGCAUCCAGAGGGUGAGGACCGAGGAGCGCGAGCAGAUCAAGACCCUCAACAAUAAGUUUGCCUCCUUCAUCGACAAGGUGCGGUUCCUGGAGCAGCAGAACAAGGUUCUGGACACCAAGUGGACCCUGCUGCAGGAGCAGGGCACCAAGACUGUGAGGCAGAACCUGGAGCCGUUGUUCGAGCAGUACAUCAACAACCUCAGGAGGCAGCUGGACAGCAUCGUGGGGGAACGGGGCCGCCUGGACUCAGAGCUGAGAAACAUGCAGGACCUGGUGGAAGACUUCAAGAACAAGUAUGAGGAUGAAAUCAACAAGCGUACCACUGCUGAGAAUGAGUUUGUGAUGCUGAAGAAGGAUGUAGAUGCUGCCUACAUGAACAAGGUGGAGCUGGAGGCCAAGGUUGAUGCACUGAUGGAUGAGAUUAACUUCAUGAAGAUGUUCUUUGAUGCGGAGCUGUCCCAGAUGCAGACGCAUGUCUCUGACACCUCAGUGGUCCUCUCCAUGGACAACAACCGCAACCUGGACCUGGAUAGCAUCAUCGCUGAGGUCAAGGCCCAGUAUGAGGAGAUUGCCAACCGCAGCCGGACAGAAGCCGAGUCCUGGUAUCAGACCAAGUAUGAGGAGCUGCAGCAGACAGCUGGCCGGCAUGGCGAUGACCUCCGCAACACCAAGCAUGAGAUCUCUGAGAUGAACCGGAUGAUCCAGAGGCUGAGAGCCGAGAUUGACAAUGUCAAGAAACAGUGCGCCAAUCUGCAGAACGCCAUUGCGGAUGCCGAGCAGCGUGGGGAGCUGGCCCUCAAGGAUGCCAGGAACAAGCUGGCCGAGCUGGAGGAGGCCCUGCAGAAGGCCAAGCAGGACAUGGCCCGGCUGCUGCGUGAGUACCAGGAGCUCAUGAACACCAAGCUGGCCCUGGACGUGGAGAUCGCCACUUACCGCAAGCUGCUGGAGGGCGAGGAAUGCAGGUGAUGGAGAAGGAGUUGGACCAGUCAACAUCUCUGUUGUCACAAGCAGUGUUUCCUCUGGAUAUGGCAGUGGCAGUGGCUAUGGCGGUGGCCUCGGUGGAGGUCUUGGCGGCGGCCUCGGUGGAGGUCUUGCCGGAGGUAGCAGUGGAAGCUACUACUCCAGCAGCAGUGGGGGUGUCGGCCUAGGUGGUGGGCUCAGUGUGGGGGGCUCUGGCUUCAGUGCAAGCAGUGGCCGAGGGCUGGGGGUGGGCUUUGGCAGUGGCGGGGGUAGCAGCUCCAGCGUCAAAUUUGUCUCCACCACCUCCUCCUCCCGGAAGAGCUUCAAGAGCUAAGAACCUGCUGCAAGUCACUGCCUUCCAAGUGCAGCAACCCAGCCCAUGGAGAUUGCCUCUUCUAGGCAGUUGCUCAAGCCAUGUUUUAUCCUUUUCUGGAGAGUAGUCUAGACCAAGCCAAUUGCAGAACCACAUUCUUUGGUUCCCAGGAGAGCCCCAUUCCCAGCCCCUGGUCUCCCGUGCCGCAGUUCUAUAUUCUGCUUCAAAUCAGCCUUCAGGUUUCCCACAGCAUGGCCCCUGCUGACACGAGAACCCAAAGUUUUCCCAAAUCUAAAUCAUCAAAACAGAAUCCCCACCCCAAUCCCAAAUUUUGUUUUGGUUCUAACUACCUCCAGAAUGUGUUCAAUAAAAUGCUUUUAUAAUAU
rnacentral:lncRNA from 1 species